GUGUCCACGGCAGGGAGGUUCCUUUCGGGCUUUGAAGGACACCAGAGCUCUGGGCUGCUCUGAGUGACCCCACACACCGUGGCAGGUGUUUGGACUGGAACAGAGGUUUGUACAGACCUUUUAGCAGCCCUUAUUAAAUUGUGGGAUUAUGGGCUGUCGUUCCUAAUCCAGCAGAGCAGGCUGGGCACA